CUGAACUGUCAUACUUGAGAAUUUCAGGACCUUAGACUGGGGAAUAUCUCAGAGGAAUGCUCCAGAGCUGAAUAUGUGUCUGUUCUUGGGCUGAAUUGAAAUAAAGAGAGCUGCUUUGAAUGCAUCAUCCACAUGGGUUCCUUAACACUUUUACUGUUUGUGUUCCAAUGUGUGGAGAAGUUUGGGAUACAAAGGUGAACCUGUCAGUGGAGAAGAAGAAAGAUGCUGCAGGAGGGCACAUACAGAUUGUAGAAGAGCUCCAUUUCUAAACUCUGCAUAAAAUCUAUUGGUUUCUUCCUCCCCAGGCAGUCAUGAAUAUCAGCUAGCAGUCAUAUACUGAUACUUCUUUAAUAACUAGAUAUUUCCUUCUUUGUCUCUCAUAAGCAAAAAGACUUUUUUGCCACCUCUCUUCAGCAAAUACGUACAGGACUGUAGUGCCUAUUCUGGUCCAGAAAACACCUCUGCUCUACUAGCUAGCAAGUCACUCUUCAUUUUGGAGUGCCUGUGCAGUCUUGUGCUACUAACAGCCAUACCUUUCUUCAGAUCGUCACAUCUACAAAACCUCCCUAUUUUCCCUUUCCCAAACAUGUGUACUUUUCCUUCCCCAAACAAGUGCCAGAAUCUGGUAUGUGCACAGAACGGUGCCACUUUCAUUGCUACUUUGUGAAAAGGAGGAAAGAUAUAUGAAUACAUAUCAGGGAGCCUCCACUUUAAUUUGGUGGUGGUCAAAACCAUAUGGUUGAUGACAAACAUGCUCUUGUUGCCUCCCAAGUAUUCUGGGACCGGUUUCCUACAAAUUCUUUGUCCUUGUCUAAUUUCUCCUGAAAGAGUAUCCCAAGCAACUGCUACCUGCAAAUACCUUUAAAAUCUCUUACGAUAUAAAGUUCUUCUGAUCAAAUUGGUGUGGCUGCUGUUUGCAUAUGAGUUUAUUUUGUUUUUAUAUGCUUUUUCUAAGCAUACUGCAUUUCUGAGCAUACAG